rnacentral:rRNA from 1 species
GAUGAACGCUGGCGGCGUGCUUAACACAUGCAAGUCGAACGAUGAACCUCACUUGUGGGGGGAUUAGUGGCGAACGGGUGAGUAACACGUGAGUAACCUGCCCUUGACUCUGGGAUAAGCCUGGGAAACCGGGUCUAAUACUGGAUACGACCUUCUGGCGCAUGCCAUGUUGGUGGAAAGCUUUUGUGGUUUUGGAUGGACUCGCGGCCUAUCAGCUUGUUGGUGGGGUAAUGGCCUACCAAGGCGACGACGGGUAGCCGGCCUGAGAGGGUGACCGGCCACACUGGGACUGAGACACGGCCCAGACUCCUACGGGAGGCAGCAGUGGGGAAUAUUGCACAAUGGGCGCAAGCCUGAUGCAGCGACGCCGCGUGAGGGAUGAAGGCCUGCGGGUUGUAAACCUCUUUCAGUAGGGAAGAAGCCGGCUUUUGGGUUGGUGACGGUACCUGCAGAAGAAGCGCCGGCUAACUACGUG